rnacentral:lncRNA from 1 species
CAAUUCCUGGGUUAUGACCAUGACCCUAAAAAAAUCCAGAAAAAACAACCUCAUUACGAGACAUACCUUGCAAUAGAUGUUUGUUUAACUGGAAAUCCACAAGAGCAGCUGCCCAGUGCAAUGGUACAUAUUUGCUUCUGAAUCCUUUCUCAAAGGCACUAUUUAAACAUGUUGAUGAACUGAACUGCAUUUCUCCCCACCUCCAUUUGAGCAAAACAAGGAGACUCAGAAGAUAAAAUAUGCUUUGUUUUUGCAAGUAGCAUAAUGUGGUACAGCAUUAAAUACGAGAUGUGAACUCACCAUGGCAACCCCUGCAUCACAUUGCAGAUAUGCUGCUUCUAAGCUACGGCAGAUGUUUCUGAAGAAAUACACAUGAAUAUUAGGGAGACACUGAUGGAAAUACAACGCUUUGGAGUUAAGCACGAAGACGCAACUCCACAGUGCUACCUAACGCCCCUGAAGGAUGCCUAACGUCCUUCAGGAAUGAGACAUCGUGGUGGGAUUCGGGUGCUUGGGCACGCUUGGAGACACGGGCCUGCAGCUCCCCUUCGAAGACUUGCAGAUAGCCCCACCUCUACUUUUGGGGAGCUGCUGAUUUGUAGCAAUAUCAGCUGCCUAAUCCUGAUGCCUGGCAAGAAAACGCACCUGUGACAAUGAACUCCGCUAAAGCCCUGCCUUCACACCCCAAAAGAAAAAUAACCGAACAGGUAAUUUAUUAUUAAAAGUCGAACCUAACACACAGAAGUAUAGAUGUUCAGAGUUAAUACAGCUUUUUUUCCUCGCUUACCUCAUCAUGGUUGUUUAUGGAUUACAGCAUCUGCUGUAGAUUAUGUAAGAUCUGUUGCAAAAGCUUGCUGCAUCUGAUGAAUAAGGGCAAAGUCUGAGUUUAAUUUUGAAUUUUCAGAGUUUAGUGAAUUCUGCUGUAACCUCCUCCAUCAUCUUAUUGCUUCAGCAGGUACAAUUGCAAAUGGUGUCUUUCUAUGAUUAAUGGCAAAACUACUGCCUCUUAGUGCCUUGAGGUUGUAACCCUAUGUGUUAGGAGCUGUGCAAAUGUAAUCAAAGGACGUUCCUUAUGCCAGAGUCCUAAAAUGAAAAUACUAGUUCAAAGAAAAUUAUCCUUUUGAAGGGAUGAAUUGCUACGCUACAUCAUUAGAAAUGACAUUGGCUUUUUAUGAGAUGUUAAAGUCAUUUAAAUUAGAAGAAUGGUCUUCAGAAUCCAAAUUCUAUCCUUAGCUCAAUUUUUAAUAUUCAAACUACACCCAUAUCCAUUUUGAAAUCACACAAACCAGUCAGCAAUCAGAAAGCUUAAUCCCGUUCAAUUUAUCCAGAUGAGUGGUCUCACUGGGGUUAGCUGAACCGNNNNNNNNNNNNNNNCAUGGUUACUUACUUCUUGCUUAGGUAAUGUUAAAUCAUUUGAUGAAAUCUUCAAAGGCCACCAACAAGACAAAUUAACAGAGACUGAGAAAUAUCCAGCUAUGCUCUGCAAUUAGAUGUACAAAAGACAAAUUCCAAAGGAGAAAAAUGAAAACAAGAGAUCUCUUUUAGCAUGAGGAGCUUACCAUUUUUAGUAUCAGAGUGAAAUCAGAAUAAUACAACUAGAUUAUUCUAAUUAAUUAGGCCAAUAUUUUAAAAGACUGUACAGGCAAAUUGCUUUCAGGAAGUAAUUGGAUUCUGCACAAGAAUUAAAUAUUUUGCAUGCAGAGCUUGCAAAUGUACAAUUUUCCUGAAGAAAAAUGAAUGUAUACUCAUUUAAUUACAUAAUGCAUCCUAUGACAUAUGUGGGAAUAUAUAAAGCAACAGAAUAAAGGACAAAUGAACAACUCA